rnacentral:rRNA from 1 species
AUUGAACGCUGGCGGCAGGCUUAACACAUGCAAGUCGAGCGAGCGGCGGACGGGUGAGUAAUGUCUGGGAAACUGCCUGAUGGAGGGGGAUAACUACUGGAAACGGUAGCUAAUACCGCAUACCAUCAGAUGUGCCCAGAUGGGCUUAGCUAGUAGGUGGGGUAAUGGCUCACCUAGGCGACGAUCCCUAGCUGGUCUGAGAGGAUGACCGGCCACCCUGGAACUGAGACACGGUCCAGACGCCUACGGGGGGCAGCAGUGGGGAAUUUUGGACAAUGGGCGAAAGCCUGAUGCAGCCAUGCCGCGUGUGUGAAGAAGGCCGUCGGGUUUUAAAGUACUUUCAGCGGGGAGGCGUUACCCGCAGAAGAAGCACCGGCUAACUCCGUGCCAGCAGCCGCGGUAAUUC